AGGCAGCAGUGGGGAAUAUUGGACAAUGGGCGAAAGCCUGAUCCAGCAAUGCCGCGUGAGUGAUGAAGGCCUUAGGGUUGUAAAGCUCUUUUACCAGGGAUGAUAAUGACAGUACCUGGAGAAUAAGCUCCGGCUAACUCCGUGCCAGCAGCCGCGGUAAUACGGAGGGAGCUAGCGUUGUUCGGAAUUACUGGGCGUAAAGAGUACGUAGGCGGUGAUUCAAGUCAGAGGUGAAAGCCUGGAGCUCAACUCCAGAACUGCCUUUGAAACUAGAUCGCUAGAAUCAUGGAGAGGUUAGUGGAAUUCCGAGUGUAGAGGUGAAAUUCGUAGAUAUUCGGAAGAACACCAGUGGCGAAGGCGACUAACUGGACAUGUAUUGACGCUGAGGUACGAAAGCGUGGGGAGCAAACAGGAUUAGAUACCCUGGUAGUCCACGCCGUAAACGAUGAUAACUAGCUGUUCGGGGUCUACAAUCCUGAGUGGCGCAGCUAACGCAUUAAGUUAUCCGCCUGGGGAGUACGGUCGCAA
rnacentral:rRNA from 1 species